AUGACUUCUAAGUGGACCCUGCUCCAAGCACUCAGGCACAGGACCCUGGUUUCCAAACUCGCCCCAGGAGCCCCUCACCUCUCGGCUCUGGGUCCGUCCUGUCCUGGGCAGACUGACAGACCCAGGCUGCUCCGCUCCGCAUCUGUUCCAGAACCACGACCAGCGUCCACCUUUGAGAGCUGUCGUUUUGCUGGAGAAAGAUCUGGGCCAGUCCAGGCCUCUUUUCUAUUUUGGGGGCUACUUGAAUUGAUUCCAGCCUCCUUCAGAGCAUGGAUCUGAGGAGAGAGCAAAAGACCUGGCUUUUUUGAUAAUGAAAAGCAGAGUUUUAAGCACUGAAAAAAAUAGAGGAAAAGGGAAAUGUUACGGUAUAUUCACACUGUGGUAUAUAAAUGCAAUUAUUUUAAAAAAGAAAAAUAAAUGAUCAGAAUUUCUCAAACUCAAAGCAUAUAAAGAUGUAUCUAAG
rnacentral:lncRNA from 1 species